rnacentral:rRNA from 1 species
UACGUAGGGGGCAAGCGUUGUCCGGAAUCAUUGGGCGUAAAGCGCGUGUAGGCGGUUCGGUAAGUCUGCUGUGAAAGUCCAGGGCUCAACCCUGGGAUGCCGGUGGAUACUGUCGGACUAGAGUACGGAAGAGGCGAGUGGAAUUCCCGGGUGUAGCGGUGAAAUGCGCAGAUAUCGGGAGGAACACCAGUGGCGAAGGCGGCGAUCUGGGAAGAUACUGACGCUGAGGUGCGAAAGCGUGGGGAGCAAACAGG